GCUUAAAUAACACUGUCGGUGUCAAUGCCACAGCAGUUGACCAUAUGUCUGAGAGAGUUUUUCAAUCUUAAAGGCUGCUACCUGCUACGCAUCUACUAAGGGAAACCCUUGCUUCCUAUGACAGAGAAAAUUUUCUCCUGAGACACCCGACGGUUAAAAUUCUCCUAACAAGCUGUUUUCGCGAGGAGCAUGAUCAAAAUUGGUAACAUGAAGACAUCGAAAGCAUUCCGUCUAGCUGUUCUGCUUGUAUUCUUGGCAACUUGUACCGAAUUAUCGACUGGUUUACCAACAUCGUUAGCAGAUAAAGAAAGUCUAAGGUCUCUUCCUUGUGAAGAUAGCUCAGACAAAUACUACUGUUUCUAUGAGAUCGCACUGGAGGAUGCUUGUGAUGUAAAACCGUUUGUAAUGAUGAAACAAUGCAAAUUUUCCUGUGGCUUCUGUUAGUCAUAAAUGGAAACUGUUGUUUAACCGGCUACAUAAUGCUUAUUCGACUGAAUAAAUAACUUAUUGUAUAAGAUAUAGUUUAGGCAUCUUUCAAAGAUAUUCUAUUCGUGGACCGUUUCAAAUUCAAAUGUAAAAUAUACUGAUAAGUGAUAUUCAUUGUCUUACGUAUUUUAAAAUGACUCAGAAAUAAAUCAGAAGUCAAUCACA